AAGAAUAAAUCUAAGAAGCCGCUAACUAUCUUUAAAGUGUUAAAUCACUUUAUUCUUU
rnacentral:tRNA from 1 species